rfam:Oryza barthii chromosome 8, whole genome shotgun sequence.
AAUAAACCCUAGGUUUUCGUGUCCAACGUUUGACCGUUUGUCUUAUUUAAAAAAAUUAUAAAAAAAAAUUAAAAAGACAAUUCACACAUAAAGUAUUAAUCAUGUUUUAUCAUCUAACAACAAUGAAAAUACUAAUUAUAAAAAAAUUCCAUAUAAGACGGACAGUCAAACGUUGGAUACGGAAAUCUAGAGUUUGUCUUUUU